rnacentral:tRNA from 1 species
GCGACUAUAGCUCAGUUGGUUAGAGCACCUCCCUUACAAGGAGGGGGUCACUGGUUCGAGACCGGUAUCGCACCA